rnacentral:rRNA from 1 species
ACUCCUACGGGAGGCANCANCAGGGAAUNUUGGGCAAUGGGCGAAAGCCUNACCCAGCNACGUCGNGUGGAGGAAGAAGGCCUUAGGGCUGUAAACUCCUUUUCCAGGGGAAGAGUAAGGACGGUACCUUGGGAAUAAGNCCGGCUAACUCC